rnacentral:rRNA from 1 species
AACGAACGCUGGCGGCGUGGAUAAGACAUGCAAGUCGAACGGGAUUUGUUCUGUAGUAAUACAGCGCAAGUCUAGUGGCGAACGGGUGCGUAACACGUGGGCAAUCUGCCGGGGAAGAGGGGGAUAGCUCGCCGAAAGGACGAAUUAAUACCGCAUGUGGUUAGGAAGGACAUCCUUCUAUUACUAAAGUACGGGGUAACCGUGACGCUUCCUGAUGAGCCCGCGGCCUAUCAGCNGUUGGUGAGGUAACGGCUCACCAAGGCUAUGACGGGUAGCUGGUCUGAGAGGACGACCAGCCACACUGG